UUAAGUUCAGCGGGUAUCCCUACCUGAUCCGAGGUCAAAAGGUGGAUGUGCUUCUGGGAGCCACCCCGCCGGGCCCACGAGUUCGCGUUUCUGCUGCGCUCGGAGCCGACGUGGGGGCCGCCAAUGGAUUUGAGGUGAGUCGCGCGCGGGGCGGGACAGGCACCCAACACCAAGCAGGGCUUGAAGGUGUAGAUGACGCU
rnacentral:misc_RNA from 1 species